UGAAUACGAGACGCUAAGGCGUCGAAGUAGUGUAUGUCAUACUUCCAAGAAAAGCUUGCACUGUCAUAAGUAAAAAAUGCCUGUACCAUAACCGACACAGGUGGGUAGGUAGAGUAUACUAAGGGGCGCGAGAUAACUCUCUCUAAGGAACUCGGCAAAAUAACUCCGUAACUUCGGGAGAAGGAGUACCUUAUUCUAUAAGGUUGCAAUAACAAGAUCCAAGCAACUGUUUAUCAAAAACACAGGUCUCCGCUAAGUCGUAAGACGAUGUAUGGGGGCUGACGCCUGCCCAGUGCCAGAAGGUUAAAGAAGUCGGUUAGCAUUAGCGAAGCUGGUAGCUGAAGCCCUGGUGAACGGCGGCCGUAACAAUAACGGUCCUAAGGUAGCGAAAUUCCUUGUCGGGUAAGUUCCGACCCGCACGAAAGGCGUAAUGAUUUGGAUACUGUCUCGGAGAGGGGCUCGGUGAAAUAGACUUGUCUGUGAAGAUGCGGACUACCUGCACCAGGACAGAAAGACCCUAUGAAGCUUUACUGUAACUUGAAAUUGAAAUUGGACUUUAUUCGCGCAGUAUAGGUGGGAGGUGUUGAUUAUAAUCUUGCGGGAUUAUUGGAGCCAUCAGUGAGAUACCACUCUUGUAAUGUUAGAUUUCUAACUUUGAAUCAUUAUCUGGUCAAAGGACAGUUUCAGGCGGGCAGUUUGACUGGGGCGGUCGCCUCCCAAACGGUAACGGAGGCGUACAAAGGUUUCCUCUGAACGGGUAGAAAUCGUAUCUAGAGUGUAAAGGCAUAAGGAAGCUUGACUGUGAGACCUACAAGUCGAACAGGGACGAAAGUCGGUCUUAGUGAUCUGACGGUACUGAGUGGAAAGGCCGUCACUCAACGGAUAAAAGUUACUCUAAGGAUAACAGGCUGAUCUCCCCCAAGAGUUCACAUCGACGGGGAGGUUUGGCACCUCGAUGUCGGCUCAUCGCAUCCUGGGGCGGUAGUACGUCCCAAGGGUUGGGCUGUUCGCCCAUGAAAGCGGUACGCGAGCUGGGUUCAGAACGUCGUGAGACAGUUCGGUCCAUAUCCGGUGUAGGCGUUAGAAUAUUGAGAGGAGCCUUCUUUAGUACGAGAGGACCGAGAAGGACAUACCUCUGGUGUACCAGUUAUCGUGCCAACGGUAAACGCUGGGUAGCUAUGUAUGGAGUGGAUAACCGCUGAAAGCAUCUAAGUGGGAAGCCCACCUCAAGAUAAGUAUUCCC
rnacentral:rRNA from 1 species